CCCAUCCCAUGAACAAAUCUUGCCAAGAAAACUCUACGAUUGGUUCACUGUAGGUUCCCCAUAGAUCUUGCCAAGAAAAGUCUAUGAUUGCUUCACUGUAGGUUCCCCAUAGAUCGGAAAGCCUUGAAGACACACACCAAAAACAACAAACUACACAUACAGUGUGAAAGACUGUUGGAAGUGCAGCAGUGCUCAACACAUAAAGAGUUAAAGAUCUCAGAAACCGAAACUGAAUUAUGCAGCAUGUUUGACUGCGAUCUCAACAAUAUUGUGGCAGGCUUUAUCUCCUUCUUGUCUUGUACUUUGACAUUGCACCAGACGGUUGCGGUGGUUUCACAAUGGAACCUUCUGGUCCGUAGGAAAUGUUCAGAUCUAAUAGCCAGCAGCAACCCAUUUUCUGAGAAAGCGGGAGCAGUUCCACCGAAAAUGCUGGUCUAAAGAGCAUACAACACCACUGAGACCAUGAAUGUGCUACUACCAAAGGGACAUGAAAUGCAAGUGGCUACAAUUUUGUUUUAAGGCUGAGAUGGACGGAUUCAGAGCAAGGGAAAUUCCACCAAUAAGUACCCCCAAUGUAAAUUCUUUAGAGACCACAACUUUGAGCUGUUCACAGGUUUAGCUCCAGCUGCCAUCCCGACAAUUGUUUUUCUUUUCUUCUCUCCCUUCUUGCUGUGAAACUGAGAAACUGCAGGGGGCAGUAAGACGUCAUCGGAGCAUAUGGCCCUCAUGUUUCUCCACCGCCACCCCACCCUUUCCCAUUUCCAAUCAAAAAGAAUCCUCUACUGCAAAGCUUCCAAAACUUCUCCUCUGCAGCUAGGAAAAUCUAUCUGGGCUCUAUUUGUUUUUAAAUGGAUUAUAUCUGGGUUUCUUUUAUGAAAGCGUCUAACAUCUGGCAUUCAAAGAAUAUAAUCACUCCGGACUAUCAGUGCCGGUAUUGGCUUGUAUUAAAUUUGCGUUUGUCUUCCCAGUCAAAUACCUUUUUUUCUCCCUCGCUUUCUUUUCCUGACCUUUCAUCUUAGCAGGGGGUCGGACAAGAAAGAGGCUUCUGGAAACGCAGUGUGUUUUUCAUUUGGUUUUUCAGCCUAAGAGUGGUGCAUGGUACAUAAUUUUCCCCCCUCCCCGCAUACAUAUCUAUUGUAGCACCUGCUGGUUAGGUUAUUUAUUUAUUAUUAUUAUUAAAUUUGAGAGGCAUAAGGAAUAAAGUACUGAGAGUGGCAAGAUAAAAA